rnacentral:rRNA from 1 species
UACGUAGGGUGCAAGCGUUGUCCGGAAUUACUGGGCGUAAAGAGCUCGUAGGUGGUUUGUCGCGUUGUUCGUGAAAACUCACAGCUCAACUGUGGGCGUGCGGGCGAUACGGGCAGACUUGAGUACUGCAGGGGAGACUGGAAUUCCUGGUGUAGCGGUGAAAUGCGUAGAUAUCUGGAGGAAUACCGGUGGCGAAGGCGGCAUCCUGGACCAUUACUGACGCUGAGGCGCGAAAGCUAGGGGAGCAAACGGG